rnacentral:rRNA from 1 species
UAACACAUGCAAGUCGAACGAUGAUAGAGAGCUUGCUUUCUUGAUUAGUGGCGCACGGGUGAGUAAUGCAUAGAUAAUGUGCCCUUAGUUCGGGAUAGCCACUGGAAACGGUGAUUAAUACCGGAUACUCCUUCUUGUUAUAAGACAAGUCGGGAAAGUUUUUCGCUAAGGGAUCAGUCUAUGUUCCAUCAGCUUGUUGGUGAGGUAAUGGCUCACCAAGGCUAUGACGGAUAUCUGGUUUGAGAGGAUGAUCAGACACACUGGAACUGAGACACGGUCCAGACUCCUACGGGAGGCAGCAGUGAGGAAUAUUGCACAAUGGAGGAAACUCUGAUGCAGCAACGCCGCGUGGAGGAUGACGCAUUUCGGUGUGUAAACUCCUUUUAUUAGGGAAGAUAAUGACGGUACCUAAUGAAUAAGCACCGGCUAACUCCGUGCCAGCAGCCGCGGUAAUACGGAGGGUGCAAGCGUUACUCGGAAUCACUGGGCGUAAAGGGUGCGUAGGCUGGCUUUUAAGUCAGAUGUGAAAUCCAAUGGCUCAACCAUUGAACUGCAUUUGAAACUGAAAGCCUAGAGUUCAGAAGGGGCAGAUGGAAUUAGUGGUGUAGGGGUAAAAUCCGUAGAUAUCACUAGGAAUAUCAAAAGCGAAGGCGAUCUGCUGGGAUGAUACUGACGCUGA